GGAGCUGCAGCUCCAUGGCAGAGCAUCUGCUCUGUGUGCAGAAGGUUCCGGAUUCAAUUCCCGGCAUCUCCA
rnacentral:tRNA from 1 species